CACCCAAAUUACUUCCAAAUGGAGGUGCUGACAGACGCUGUUAAUGAGCUCUGUUUUGUCAGACUUGCUGAUGACCUUUGACAACAUCUUUCUUCCAGCCUGCAAGGUAAAAUUGCAGCAGUGCAAUUAAGAAAAGAUGCAAGAAAGAAGGAAAUUCUUUUCAUCUCCUGAGCCAACAAUCAUAUCUAUAUGGACAAAGAAACAAUAGGGAAGACUUACUUUCAUAAUAAUUCCAUCAUAUAGACGUUUCGGCUUUGCAGAAAUAAUUGCGUUUUUGAUCUUGUAAAAUCUUUGGAUGAUAUUUUUUUAUGAAUAACUCAGAAAGGAAACACCACUUAACAACUAGAAAUGUGCCAUGUUUCUUCCUAGGGGCUGCAAGAUUGAAAACACAGAGUUGCCACCAACUGGCGUGGCUCUUGAUGUUCCCAAGGAAAAAUGACCAGAGGAUGAAAAAUAAAGAGCGUGGAAACCUUCAUAAACUACCACUCCGAAGACUUCAGCAGUACACCAAAAUGUCCCGAGGAGCUGAGUGGAUGUCUCUGGCGGACACUCCUUAUUUGCUAAAGGAGUGACAUUCCUUGACUCAAUUUUUCCUUCCAAGUGGCUACGAGAUUAAAGAAACAUUCAUCACGCGUGCUCUGAG